ACCUCGCUAGUGUAGUGGUAGCGCGCGUCCCCGGAAUGGAGGAAACGCGGGUUCCAUUCCCGUUUGAGGUC